AUUUGAUGAUGGGAACAUUGAAUAAUUAAAGCAUUAAAGCGGUCCCAAUAUUAAAAUAAAGACUCCCCUGUAUGUUGUGUCAUUCCGCAUAUCUCUUUCCUCAUGAU